UUGAAACACCUGUUCUCGUACGAUCACCAAAGGUAAGCAACGUCGGGUUUGGUCAGUACCAAGAUGGUUGAGCGUUUGGGAACACCAGGUGCUAU